AACUAAGUUAGUUAUUGGUAUGAGCUUUUGUGUGCAUGCACACUUCUUCAGAUACUUCUUUUUGUGUGCAUGCACAUGAAAGCUCAUACCAAUAACUAACCAAUAACU